UUGUAGCACUCGUACAGUCCGGUUCCCGCGCGCCCUUCCGCACCCACCUGACCGCUGGUCGCUACGUUUUGUUCGCC
rnacentral:sRNA from 1 species